CAGUAGCCGCGGUAAUACGUAGGUGGCAAGCGUUGUCCGGGAUUAUUGGGCGUAAAGGGCUCGCAGGCGGUUUCUUAAGUCUGAUGUGAAAGCCCCCGGCUCAACCGGGGAGGGUCAUUGGAAACUGGGAAACUUGAGUGCAGAAGAGGAGAGUGGAAUUCCACGUGUAGCGGUGAAAUGCGUAGAGAUGUGGAGGAACACCAGUGGCGAAGGCGACUCUCUGGUCUGUAACUGACGCUGAGGAGCGAAAGCGUGGGGAGCGAACAGGAUUAGAUACCCCCGUAGUCCCUGUCUCUUAUAC
rnacentral:rRNA from 1 species